rnacentral:lncRNA from 1 species
UUAUGAUGUCAACUAAGUAUCAUUAGAUUCUUCAUCAAUUAUAUUUUCAUAGUAUACCUAUUUGAGGUCAUAAAUCUUUAUAAUUUUCUCUAUAAUUUUGGUUAAACUUAAGAUGUUUUAACUCUUCAAGAUUCUUGGAAUGACCUAUAAUUUGGAAUGGAGGAAGUAUUUGCCAGUAUGGUUGGCAUGAUUUAUUUAUAUGCUUAUCUACCUC